AACGAACGCUGGCGGCAGGCUUAACACAUGCAAGUCGAGCGCCCCGCAAGGGGAGCGGCAGACGGGUGAGUAACGCGUGGGAAUCUACCGAGCCCUGCGGAAUAGCUCCGGGAAACUGGAAUUAAUACCGCAUACGCCCUACGGGGAAAAGAUUUAUCGGGGUUUGAUGAGCCCGCGUUGGAUUAGCUAGUUGGUGGGGUAAUGGCCUACCAAGGCGACGAUCCAUAGCUGGUCUGAGAGGAUGAUCAGCCACAUUGGGACUGAGACACGGCCCAAACUCCUACGGGAGGCAGCAGUGGGGAAUAUUGGACAAUGGGGGCAACCCUGAUCCAGCCAUGCCGCGUGAGUGAUGAAGGCCUUAGGGUUGUAAAGCUCUUUCACCGGUGAAGAUAAUGACGGUAACCGGAGAAGAAGCCCCGGCUAACUUCGUGCCAGCAGCCGCCUAACAC
rnacentral:rRNA from 1 species